AAUUCAUGGUGAGGGCAAACUCUUGUUAAUUCCUUGUAUCGCUCUCACGCUAUAAAGAGUGAUUCACUGUUUCUCUACCUGAAGCAGGUAAUUUGGUUCCUUAAUU